UACGAAGACCUCAAGCGUUACCCGGAUUUACUGGGCGUAAAGGGCCCAAAGGUGGGAUAAAAAGUCUUUUCUGAAAUUAUAAUAGCCUAACUGUUAUAACAAGAAAAGAUACUUUUAUCCUAGAGACUGCAAGGGAUUAGUGGAACGUACAGUGUAGGGGUGAAAUCCAUUGAUAUUGUACGGAACGCCAAAAGCGAAGGCAACUAAUUAGUGCAGUUCUGACACUGAUUGGGCGAAAGCUUGGGGCGCGAAUCGG
rnacentral:rRNA from 1 species